GCUUCGGUGACCUAGUGGUUAGAACGUCCGCCUCAGAUGUGGGAGGUCGAGGGUUCGAAACCCGGCCGAAUCA